rnacentral:rRNA from 1 species
AUUGAACGCUGGCGGCAGGCCUAACACAUGCAAGUCGAACGAGUGGCAGACGGGUGAGUAAUGUCUGGGAAAAUGCCUGAUGGAGGGGGAUAACCACUGGAAACGGUCGCUAAUACCGCAUACCAUGGGAUGUGCCCAGAUGGGAUUAGCUAGUAGGUGGGGUAAAGGCUCACCUAGGCGACGAUCCCGAGCGGGUCUGAGAGGAUGAACAGCCAAACUGGAACUGAGACACGGUCCAGACUCCUACGGUAGGCAGCAGUGGGGAAUAUUGCACAAUGGGCGCAAGCCUGAUGCAGCCAUGCCGCGUGUAUGAAGAAGGCCUUCGGGUUGUAAAGUACUUUCAGCGGGGAGGCGUUACCCGCAGAAGAAGCACCGGCUAACUCCGUGCCAGCAGCCGCGGUAAUUC